GCGAGGUAUUGAAGCCUUAUGGUUUUACAAAGUUUUUUUUUCUAUCUGUGAACAGAAAGAUAGCUCCAGUUUACAAUAACACUCUUCUGAGAUUUGAUUGGGAGGUACGUUAGGGAGGUCAUUUUUUGGUUAUCCCAAUAAAUGGGACAAACCGGAAAAAAAUACGGGAAAACCGGGAGAACGGGAAAAUUGGUACAUUAUUAAACAAAUAUUAUUAAAG